AAGUCGUAACAAGGUUUCCGUAGGUGAACCUGCGGAAGGAUCAUUCACAAUAAGAGUGUUUAUGGCACUCUUCAAAAAAUCCAUACCCACCUUGUGUGCAAUGUAAAAAGAGUCUUUGCUGAGGAAGGGAGAAUAAAACCUCCCCAACGAUUGCCUAGAUUCUUUUCAUCUUCAUACACCUUUCUAUUAGUUCCUAUAGUCUGAAGUAUAGAAUUAUCACAAUUCAAAUAUAACUUUCAACAACGGAUCUCUUGGCUCUCA
rnacentral:misc_RNA from 1 species